UACGGAGGGUGCAAGCGUUGCUCGGAAUUAUUGGGCGUAAAGGGUAGGUAGGUGGUCUCGUUUGUCUGGGGUGAAAUCCUUGAGCUUAACUCAAGAAGUGCCUCAGAAACGGCGAGACUAGAGUUCUGGAGAGGGUCGUGGAAUUCCCGGUGUAGCGGUGAAAUGCGCAGAUAUCGGGAGGAACACCGGUGGCGAAGGCGGUUCUCUGGGCCUGUACUGACGCUGAGGAGCGAAAGCGUGGGGAGCGAACAGG
rnacentral:rRNA from 1 species